rnacentral:rRNA from 1 species
UACAGAGGUCUCGAGCGUUAGGCGGAAUCACUGGGCUUAAAGCGUGUGUAGGCGGAUCGGUAAGUACCUUGUGAAAUCCCACAGCUUAACUGUGGAACUGCUUGGUAUACUGCCAGUCUUGAGCCAGCUAGGGGCUACCGGAACAAAUGGUGGAGCGGUGAAAUGCGUAGAUAUCAUUGGAACGCCAAUGGUGAAAACAGGUAGCUGGGGCUGUGCUGACGCUGAGACACGAAAGCCAGGGGAGCAAACAGG